CUUUUAAUCCUCAAGUACAGCAGUAGUAGAGAAGAGGAACAGAGACAUUUAAGAUGCUCCUCCAAAAACAAAAGAAAGGGGGAGCCAAAGGCAACCCUAGAGAACUUGUCAAUCUAGCUCUUUAUACUAUUUCUUGAUUUUUGACAAGGUGCAUUGGCUCUGGCAGGCAGGUUUUAUAACCCACCGGAAGGGCAGUGUCCAGUGCGAGCAGCUCCACUAUCUAAAUAAUCGCCAGGUGAUGUGGAGAGGCCCAGAAAGUGGUGAA